rnacentral:rRNA from 1 species
AGUGAACGCUGGCGGUAGGCCUAACACAUGCAAGUCGAACGGCAGCACAGUAAGAGCUUGCUCUUACGGGUGGCGAGUGGCGGACGGGUGAGGAAUACAUCGGAAUCUACUUUUUCGUGGGGGAUAACGUAGGGAAACUUACGCUAAUACCGCAUAUGAUCUACGGGUGAAAGCAGGGGAUCUUGGGACCUUGCGCGAUUGAAUGAGCCGAUGUCGGAUUAGCUAGUUGGCGGGGUAAAGGCCCACCAAGGCGACGAUCCGUAGCUGGUCUGAGAGGAUGAUCAGCCACACUGGAACUGAGACACGGUCCAGACUCCUACGGGAGGCAGCAGUGGGGAAUAUUGGGCAAUGGGCGCAAGCCUGAUCCAGCCAUACCGCGUGGGUGAAGAAGGCCUUCGGGUUGUAAAGCCCUUUUGUUAGGAAAGAAAAGCAGCAGGUUAAUACCCCGCUGUUCUGACGGUACCCAAAGAAUAAGCACCGGCUAACUUCGUG